UCUAAUAUGGCAGAUUAGUGCAUUAGAUUUAAACUCUAAAUAUAAAAUUUAUAAAUUUUUAUUAGAA
rnacentral:tRNA from 1 species